UGAAGGAGACAACCCGGAUGCUGGGUUAGCGGGCACAGCUGCCACCCGUGCAACUUGCUGUGAACAACUCAGCUCACAUCCCUCGGCACAACCCUCCCAGACACAGCCCAGCUCAUCACCCAGCAACACCUACACACAACUCAGUGCAAACACCAGGACAACGCCUCGGGCACCAAUCAGCACAGCCGCCCACCCAACAACACAGCCAGCAAUGUCAGCCACACACAGCACGCACCCCGCGCAACAUGCACAUGUACAGGGAGAUACGUCUGAGCAAGGCCGUGGCCAACACUAGUAAACACAUACAAUCCUUGCAGACGGCGCGAGGCUGGCCAGUCGCACAAGAGGAGAGUCCGGACCAUAGAUGAGAGUGAAUCAGAAAAGAAUGUAGAGUCCAUGUAGAUACAGUAACUGACUGCAGCAUGGACCCUCGGUGAGAGACGUCACGUACAACACUUAGCUGUACAGUGUAACUCAGAUGCAAACGUUGGAUAUCGAACCGACUGUCUAAAAAAAACACCCCAACUCGAAUGGCUUUACCGUUGUGAGACACUGGCAUACUGCAUGCACUCUGGUGCACACGGCCAGAAGUUAUUGGAAACGAGAGAGCCCAGAAAGAUUCAAGAUCUACUCGGUCUCGCAGCACAUGAUAAUAGCAGUGUCACUUUCAAACCUGUGGUCUAUGAAGUUUGUGCGUCUCCUGGCCCUUAAUUUUUUGAAUGUGCCACUCAACCCAGCUGCGGCUACUGCAUUUUCUGGGCAUAAAGCUGGGGAUCCAGGCAGGGGCCUUUGAAACCUUCUUUGUGUUGCUGCUUGUCUCCCUCCGAAAGUCGCCUUUGGGCUGCGGUAGGCGGCUCUGCAGAGAGAUCUCGCCUGUGGCUGUAUGAGGGGAAUGGAGCACCAGCCCCGGAGUUACGGGCCAGGCAGCCUGGCGGGGGUGAGAUGUUAGAGCAAAUUUCUGGACAAUCGUUUUGUGGCUCUGGGAGGACCAUGGAGUGAUCAGUAAUCGCCAGUGUGGACAGCAAAUGCUGCCAGACCCACCUGGCUUUUCUUUGGCAGAGACCCUGGCCCAGGGCACGUGGAGGAAGCAGGAGAUGUAAUUAUCUGGAGUAGGCCUGACGCGGUCCCACGGGGAAACGAGUGGCCCGGUGGCACAUCAGAGACUAACAACGAGAUAGAUAGACGGUGGCACGAGCUCUCGUGGGCACGACCUGCCGUGCGGGGAGCAAAGGCGCUGGAGUGCUGCCUCAUCAGCAAAUGCCGGAGUCUGGCCACUCUGGCUUUCUUCAGGCUGGCGGGCGGUGGGCCCAGAGAGCGAGGUGCUGUCCUGCCCUUGCCCUGGGCCACAUGCACCUGCAGGACCAGCGGAUUCUCAGGGCGAGAGGAGCAGACAGCUGAGGGCGGGAGGGGCUUGCUCCAGCCCUCCGGCAGCCAGCACUGGGUGAGGAGGAGGGCGGGAGGCCGGGCAUGGCCGGACUGUCAGAGAGCAGUUUACAGGGGUACUCGCUAGCCCCUUAGCGAAAUCUUCAAUGGAGACUUUGCACAGAACUGGGCCCAGAACCGAUCCCUGCGGAACCUGGCUCAUGCUGCACUUCCAGCAUGACUGGGAGCCAUUGGGACCUGCUCUCUGGCUUUUCCAUAGUCUCUGCAAAAGU